UGAAAAACCGGAGACUCGUAUGAUCACCGAAGUUAAGCAAUGUUGAGUCUGGUCAGUACCUAGAUGGGUGACCGCUUGCGAAUAACAGGUGCUGU